rnacentral:lncRNA from 1 species
ACACUGGUGGGGGUUUAUCCAUCGGCAGAACUCGGGAAAGUUGCGGAGGCUCAACCAUCGGAGGGGUUCAGAAAGAUGUCGCUGAAGGUCGGACGUCGGUAGAAUCCCUGGAGGGUCACUCCUGACACAAAUUUCGACUGGGGGGGUAUUUUAUACCCAACAGAUCCCAUGGUCGAAGUAUAUGGAAUUCUACUCAUACACUCUCUCUCUUCAAAAGUUGUCAAAUAAUCUUUCUUAGAGAGAAAUUUUAUGGCC